rnacentral:rRNA from 1 species
GUCUUAUUGAAAAUAAUUUUAAGUCUAAUCUGCUCAAUGAAACUUUAAAUAGCUGCAGUAUCAAUAACUGUACUAAGGUAGCAUAAUAAUUAGAUUUUUAAUUAAAAUCUAGAAUGAAAGAUUUAAUGAAGUAAAAACUGUUUCUGAUUAAAUAAAUAAAUUUAUUAUUAAAGUUAAAAAACUUUAAUAAAAUUAAAAGACGAAAAGACCCUAUAGAAUUUUAUAAAAUUUAUUAAUAAAUUAACUAUUUUAAUUAAUUAAUAAAUUUUUAUUUAAUUGGGGCAAUUUUAAAAUUUUCAUAAUUUUUAAAUUUAUCUACAUUAAUUAAUGAAUAAUUAAACUAAUUUAAAAUUUAAUAAAAUUAAUUACCUUAGGGAUAACAGCAUAAUAUUUUUUUUUAGUACAUAUAAAUAAAAAAGUUUAUGACCUCGAUGUUGAAUUAAGAUAAAAAUAAUUUGAAAAUAAAUUAAAUUUUAAGUCUGUUCGACUUUUAAAUUCUUACAU